GGCUUCCAACUCUGCUUCCUGUGAGCUGGCAGACUUCUGUGAUGGUCUCCAGGAUCCUUUGAGGAUUCCCAAACCAAACACCAUAAAACUGACCCACUUGAAUCUGCCUCUGCUUCCUGGAGACCAGAUCAGCUGUUUGGAUGUUCUGCGCACAAUUACUACACAGGUGUCAUGUGAAUAGGUGAGCUUCAUCUCAUCAACGCAGUGUGCUGCAGACCUGAUCCAGGAACACGUGCAGGAUGGAGACACCGAGGGAACGCUAGUCCAGGUUGUGGGCGGAGCCUCACAGUGAUACGAGAU
ensembl:lncRNA